AAUGAACGUUGGCGGCGUGGAUUAGGCAUGCGAGUCGUGCGAGAACCGUAGCAAUACGGGGACAGCGGCGAAAGGGAGAGGAUUACGUGGAUACCUACCCUCGGAUUCAGGAUAGCUAUGGGAAACUAUAGGUAAUACUGAAUGAUGUCUUCGGAUCAAAGGUGUGAUUCCGUCCGAGGAGGGGUCAGCGUCCUAUUAGCUAGUUGGUGCGGUAACGGCGUACCAAGGCGAAGAUGGGUACGGGAUGUGAGAGCAUAAUCCCGCUCAUUGGGACUGAGACACUGCCCAGACACCUACGGGUGGCUGCAGUCGAGAAUCUUCGGCAAUGGGGGAAACCCUGACCGAGCGACGCCGCGUGUGAGAUGAAGGCCUUCGGGUUGUAAAUCACUGUCGUAGAGGAGGAAGUGUAGGUGGGUACUCCCACUUAUUUGACCUAUUCUAGGAGGAAGGACGGGCUAAGUUCGUGCCAGCCGCCGCAGUAA
rnacentral:rRNA from 1 species